rnacentral:tRNA from 1 species
ACAAGAAUGCCAGAUAUUUAUGGGACUGAAUUAGGAUCAUUUUAUGACUCAUAUGUCUUCUUGUA